GUGGGGAAUCUUGCACAAUGGGCGAAAGCCUGAUGCAGCGAUUCCGCGUGGAGGAUGAAGCAUUACGGUGUGUAAACUCCUUUUCUGGUGGAAGACGAAUGACGGUACACCAGGAAUAAGGGACGGCUAACUACGUGCCAGCAGCCGCGGUAAUACGUAGGUCCCAAGCGUUAUCCGGAUUUACUGGGCGUAAAGUGUCCGUAGCCCGACAACCAAGUCUGUUUUCAAAUACCACGACUCAAUCGUGGGAAGGGAAUAGAUACUGUUUGUCUAGAGAAUAUUGGAGGUUAGUGGAAUUUCCGGUGGAGCGGUGAAAUGCGUUGAUAUCGGAAAGAACGCCGAAAGCGAAAGCAGCUAACUAUGAUUAUUCUGACGGUGAGGGACGACAGCUUGAGGAGCAAACGGGAUUAGAAACCCUAGUAGUCC
rnacentral:rRNA from 1 species